UUAUGGAAAGUGGGGACGUCGCGAGAGCGCCGGAGACUCCACUGCCGUAACUAUAAUGUGGGCAAAUUAAAAGCCACGAUUUAUCGGCGACAUCAAGAGCCGAUGUCUCAAUUUAAAUAAACAACUUAACCGAGAUGCAACAUCACUGAAAUCCCAUCGCCGAAGGUCCAGUGGGUGGGUUUAGGUUUCAUCCGAGCGAUGCCCAACUAUCCCGGAUGAACCUAUGGGUUUUUUCUUUAAAGUUUUAACAAGUUUUAAGUUUUUGCAAGUUUUAAUCUAAGAAGAAGUUUAUGAUUGGAUCAGAUGAUUUCAACAAUGAUUUUGUGAAUGAAGAUUGCUACUGUUUUCUUCUGCGUUUGCAAGUUAUUUCAAGCUUCAUUUCGGCGGAGCUUGCCUUGGUUGUUUGCACGUCGAAGCUUUCCUUUGUGCGGCGCGCAUGUGGAUGUGCCGUGCCCCUCCUUUUGUCAACACACCGGAUAAGGCCUGGUGAAGGUCUGCGAGGUUGACCGGUGGACGUGCAGCCCGCCAGCUGCGUAACAGUUGGCCCGCUGCGCCGCCAUCGUCCAGCACGCCCUGGCCUGAGCCGGCCUCAACUCAUCACCUGUACGGUAUUUCGGAACGCCUCAGGUAGGCCUGAUAGUCGGAGGUCCUCGAGUAAGUGAGGUGCCUACAGGUGUACGGACAGUGUUUUUAAACAUAGUGAUAUCCCAUGGUUGUUACGGAGUGACAAUUAACCUGACGGACCAAAGCGCGACCUGUCUCCCUCCAUAGGGUUUUUGACCUACCUAUGGUUAACUAAAUAAAUUUAUAUAUUCAAAAUUAUACAUUGUACAAAUUCAAAGGGAGUUUUCUUUGUCUCAUGCUCACCGGUCUAUAACAUCUAGCUGUGCCCUUCAGGUAAACACCACUUUAUAAAUUUUCUGAAACAUAUCUGCAUUAUCAGUAUUUUAACACCCAUUUCCUAUACACCUACCUUCCUAUAAGGUAGUUAAAAAUCUAGUGUUUCAAGCUACGCAAUGAAUAACCAAUUGUAUCGUAUUAUGUGAACGAUAUUCAAAUUGAUGGAUCAUUAGGAUUUGUCAGGAUUUCAUGAUCAAAAGAAUAGGCUGUUAGUGUAAAACUUUAGCCCAUCACAAAAUUAAUAACAACAAAAAGAAAUUCUGUCACCAGGGCUGCCAGAUGAAAAAAAGGCAUGAUCGUACGUCAACUACAAAAAAAUCGUAUUCCAAGGAAAUUUUGAAAUGAAAAGAUAGUACAACUUAAAAGUUCAAAGUUUUUAUGAAAAAUGAGAAUAAUUCGUUAAGAAUCAGAAAAAUAAUGCAAUAAAACUGUUUAUUAGACUUAUACUAAUUUUCUGAGGUUAAUUUUUUUUUUUAUUCGGAACACUGCGCUAUUCGUCAUCUAUCGCCUGCAUCACUUGCAUGUCCUCGGGUUUUAUUAUUCUUGGGACCAGUAUCAUGAGUAGCAGUAACGUCGGUACUUUUUACUGUAAUUACUGGAAACAGCAUUGGUAGGUUCAAGACAGUCCAGUUCCGAUAGAAUGGCGCCAUCUAAAUCGUAUCUUUUUUAAUUUCUUCUGCACUUGUGAUUAAAAAAUGCCUGCAACGUUGAAAAAAAUCAAAGCUGCCAGAGUAACACAUUUGUUUUAUUACGAAAUGUCGCCAGGUACCGAAAAAUCGUACAUUAUCCGUACGAUCGUAGUCUUGCGAUCGUACAUGAGUAGAAAUGCCAAAAAAUCGUACGUGUACGAUUUAAAUCGUACAUCUGGCAGCCCUGUCUGUCACUAUCAUAGGGUUGCCAGAUUAGGAUUAAUUUUCGAAAAUUUGGGGAAACAAAAAAAUAACACCAAAAUGAGGAACUUUCCAGGCUACGUUCUUUAAAAAAAUAUAUAGAUGGCGUUGUACAGAUUUAACGUGAUAAUUACCUAUUUUCCU